rnacentral:rRNA from 1 species
AGUGAACGCUGGCGGUAGGCCUAACACAUGCAAGUCGAACGGCAGCACAGUAAGAGCUUGCUCUUACGGGUGGCGAGUGGCGGACGGGUGAGGAAUACAUCGGAAUCUACUUUUUCGUGGGGGAUAACGUAGGGAAACUUACGCUAAUACCGCAUACGACCUACGGGUGAAAGCAGGGGAUCUUCGGACCUUGCGCGAUUGAAUGAGCCGAUGUCGGAUUAGCUAGUUGGCGGGGUAAAGGCCCACCAAGGCGACGAUCCGUAGCUGGUCUGAGAGGAUGAUCAGCCACACUGGAACUGAGACACGGUCCAGCCUCCUAAGGGGGGCAGCGGGGGGGAAUUUUGGACAAGGGGCGCAAGCCUGAUCCAGCCAUACCGGGGGGGUGAAGAAGGCCUUCGGGUUGUAAAGCCCUUUUGUUGGGAAAAAAAAGCAGCAGGUUAAUACCCCGCUGUUCUGACGGAACCCAAAAAAAAAGCACCGGCUAACUUCGU